rnacentral:rRNA from 1 species
CUUUAUUGGAGAGUUUGAUCCUGGCUCAGGACGAACGCUGGCGGCAUGCCUAAUACAUGCAAGUCGAGCGGACUUGAAGAGAAGCUUGCUUCUCUGAUGGUUAGCGGCGGACGGGUGAGUAACACGUAGGCAACCUGCCCUCAAGUUUGGGACAACUACCGGAAACGGUAGCUAAUACCGAAUAAUUGUUUUCUUCGCCUGAAGGAAAC